CUGGCUCAGGAUGAACGCUAGCGGCAGGCUUAACACAUGCAAGUCGAGGGGCAUCGGGAGUAGCAAUACUUGCCGGCGACCGGCGCAAGGGUGCGUAACGCGUGAGCAACAUGCCCGUAUCAGGGGGAUAAUCCAUGGAAACGUGGUCUAAUACCCCAUAGUAAUUAUGUAAGGCAUCUUAUAUAAUUUAAAGCUUUGGUGGAUACGGAUUGGCUCGCGUGACAUUAGCUGGAUGGUAGGGUAACGGCUUACCAUGGCUACGAUGUCUAGGGGUUCUGAGAGGAAGGUCCCCCCACACUGGAACUGAGACACGGUCCAGACUCCUACGGGAGGCAGCAGUGAGGAAUAUUGGACAAUGGAUGGAAAUCUGAUCCAGCCAUGCCGCGUGCAGGAAAGACGGCCCUAUGGGUUGUAAACUGCUUUUGUAUGGGAGCAAUAAGGGCUACGUGUAGUCCGAUGAGAGUACCAUACGAAUAAGCACCGGCUAACUCCGUGCCAGCCGCUGC
rnacentral:rRNA from 1 species